rnacentral:rRNA from 1 species
CUCGUGUCGUGAGAUGUUGGGUUAAGUCCCGCAACGAGCGCAACCCUUGUCAUUAGUUGCUACGAAAGGGCACUCUAAUGAGACUGCCGGUGACAAACCGGAGGAAGGUGGGGAUGACGUCAAGUCCUCAUGGCCCUUAUAGGUGGGGCUACACACGUCAUACAAUGGCUGGUACAAAGGGUUGCCAACCCGCGAGGGGGAGCCAAUCCCAUAAAGCCAGUCGUAGUCCGGAUCGCAGUCUGCAACUCGACUGCGUGAAGUCGGAAUCGCUAGUAAUCGUGGAUCAGCAUGUCACGGUGAAUACGUUCCCGGGUCUU